GAUGAACGCUGGCGGCGUGCCUAAUACAUGCAAGUCGAGUGAACCACUUCGGUGGUGAGCGGCGAACGGGUGAGUAACACGUAGGUUAUCUGCCCAUCAGACGGGGACAACGAUUGGAAACGAUCGCUAAUACCGGAUAGGACGAAAGUUUAAAGGUGCUUCGGCACCACUGAUGGAUGAGCCUGCGGCGCAUUAGCUAGUUGGUAGGGUAAAGGCCUACCAAGGCGACGAUGCGUAGCCGACCUGAGAGGGUGAACGGCCACACUGGGACUGAGACACGGCCCAGACUCCUACGGGAGGCAGCAGUAGGGAAUCUUCGGCAAUGGGCGAAAGCCUGACCGAGCAACGCCGCGUGAAUGAUGAAGGCCUUCGGGUUGUAAAAUUCUGUUAUAAGGGAAGAAUGGCUCUAGUAGGAAAUGGCUAGAGUGUGACGGUACCUUAUGAGAAAGCCACGGCUAACUACGUG
rnacentral:rRNA from 1 species